rnacentral:rRNA from 1 species
UGACCUCAAAUCAGGUAGGACUACCCGCUGAACUUAAGCAUACUUAA